CUGGAAUGACUCACACUUUAGGUAAAGCAAAAUAAUGAAGGAGGAAGCUUCCUAAACUCGUUCGUAGAUAGACCAAUCUGACAUUAGGAGGAGGAGUGAGACAAUUUCUGGCAAAUGUCCCCAAGCUGUUAUAAAACUGAAAACUGUCUCGCUGCCUCCCACUUAGCUGAGCAUGCAAUAUUAGGAAUGCAGCUGAAGAGAUGCUGGCUUCCCUUCCCAUUUCUGCUAGGUGUAAAUGGCUUAUAGAGGAGUUUUAUACAUUCUGUUACUUCUCUGAGAAAUGUAAACGAAGAGAGAUGGAUGGGCCUUGGAAUCUUUUUAAUUCAUCUUUGAUCUUCCACGGUUGCUCCUGUUGUAAUAAAUAGAAGUUGUUUCUACGGCUUUUUAAUUAAUGUAAUGGGUUCAUUUUAUACUGCAAAGUGUCAUUUGAGUGACUGUUGGUAUGAUAGAGUUUCAUUGCUCAGAAAUGGUGAAACUGAUGCUUUAGUUGGGCAUUUUGUUGGUCAAAGAAUCCCACUUAGGAACUGAUGGAACAAAAGGUGUGCAAAAGGGACCUUGUUGAGGGAUAAAAUGCAAAUAAGGAAGAAGUUUCGAGAGAUGACAUUUUUAACAUUUGCUUGCAUUAAGAACGGCCACUCUGAUACGUCAAAUAAGUGUUGGAAAUGUGCACAGAAACCUGGUACCUUUUAUCAUAUGUGGUGGACUUGUGAUAAAGCAAAAAAAUAUUGGGUUAAAAUACACAGAUGGCUUGGGGAAAUGUUGCAAAGAUCUGUAAUGUUUAACCCAGAAAUAUUUCUGUGAGGCAUUCUCCCCAGUGAUCUGGAUAAAGUAUAUACUUGACUUUGCAUGUAAUAACAGUGGCAAGGAUCGCAUAUGCGCAAUGUUGGAGAAAUGAAGAGCUACCGGCUGAAGAUUUGAUCUUGAACAAGAUAUUAGACUGUGCAGAAAUGAAUAGACUGACUUUAUCUCUUAAGGAAAAGGAAGAUACAGUUUACUACCAAACAUGGGACUUUUUCUAUCAAUGGCUACAGAAUCAGAACUCUAAUUUGGGCUGAAAUACAUAACAUUGGUAGAGAGAAAUAAGACUUUGUACUCAGUAUGUUUGAAGUCUUUGAAAUAAUUAUUUGUUUAGUGAGUAGAAAUCAAUAAAACUUUGAAACCCAAAAGAAGGGCUACUCCUUAUUUUAGAAAUAAGGAUGAAAUAUGUGGGGAGAAACUGAACAGCGAAUGGAAAACCAUUUCAAAUGGUGUGAGGCCUAGCUGCAAAAGCAACUGUACUUGAUGGCCUUGAUAUUUAGGGAUUUUGUACAGCAUGGCAGCAUUCGCUUUCCAUAUCCACAUUGCCCGAAAUAGAGCAGGUGGCCUGCAAACUAUGUCAGUUUGUGCCAGUACUUUUCCAGUUCUGGUGCAAACCUUUAAAGGCCUAGAUGGCUUAGGGCCGAAAGAAACCCCGUCUCCCAUAAAUUAUCCAGACAUCGACAGUUGUCUGAGCCCUUCUCCAAGAGUGCCUGCCAAAUGAAGUAAGGUGGGUUGCUACAAGUGAGAAGGACUUUUCAGUGACGGCACCAUAAUUGCUGAAUUGCUUCCCAGGCAGCCUAUCUUGGCAUUUGUCUUAGGCCUUGCUGGUGUCAGGGAACGGUCUUUUAUUCCCUUAGGCAUUUUAAGAAUUGUUUUCAGUGCUUUUAGUAUUUCAUUCUGCUGCUCUUUUUAAUUUGGUUUUAUGAAGUUGCUAUGGCUUUAUUCAUUGUUGCUGAUUUUAUGUUGGUUCUAUGGCACUGUUUUUAAUUGUUUUAAUGGACAGAGCCCAAAGAACGUCAAUUAGAAGGCAGUUUAAAAAUACAGUGCAUGAAUGGAUGUUGAUUCACUGAUACCAGAGAGCAAAAAUGAGUCUAGAGAUCUGACUAGAUUUGCUUCAGCCAGUCCAGGAACAGCUUACACCCAAUAAUGCAAGAUUAUGGGUGCACUGGAAAACUUAUUUCAGAUUGCUUAAUGGUUUCCAGUCCACACAGACUUAAUGUUGAUUAUUGACAACUAGCCUAUAUAAAUUUGAUAAAACAGAUAUCAAGACCAUAACACUAGAAAGGCUGUGAGCAGUAUCCACAGUGGUGGCCCUUUAUUCUCAUAGAACUGGUUAUGCACAACAGGUUUCACAAUGGGUUGCACAAGUAUAAAGCACAAGCACCUGCACACUUAUGCUUGUGUGCAGAUAACUCCUGCUCAUGGUUCGGAACCAAGUUUCUUGCAGGUACACAGCUGAGCUGCAUUAUACUUUUGUGUCUGUUCAACGUUGUCUGGAAGAUUAUAGGGUUCUUUGGAGAACUCUAGGUCAUGUGGUCCUGUGCCCACCCCCUUGUGGCUGGCACAAAGAAACCACUCAAGCUUUGCCCCCCAUCCCACCUUGAGGCUCAGAGGGAGACAGAGGUGGAAUGCCAGGGCUGCAGGUUGACAGCAAUUUCAGUCAGUGUUCCAGGUUCCUUUCUUCCAUCCUCCAGCACUAAAUCUAGAUGACUGAAAACAGUCAUCAAGAGAAAAUUCCCAGCAUGAGGCAUGAUGGCAGCAGCAAUCGUCACAAUCUUGUCUCAUUCUGGACAUAGGUUGUAUAUAGGCCUCCAAGUUUGGAAGCUUAUGUGUACCAAGGAUGCAGGAUAUAGAAUGGUGCUCUGCAUGUAAAUUGCACAGAUAAAUAUUAUGCCAAUCUAUGCCCUCCUUUGUCUUUUUAUAGAAUGCUUAUCCACUUUUCAAGUGAAUGCUUAUCCACUACUGAGCUAUUGCUCAGUAGCAGGGAAAAUUCUACUUCUUGUGGAGUAAACUGGAAUAAGAGUGGUCAUGCUGCUACACCUCAAUCAAUUUAAGUUAGUGGAUUUCAACAGAUGCAACCCUGGCUGUGCCUGAGUAGACAAGAUACUUGCCAUCAACUUUUUGAAGAAAGCCAAGUCUGUCCCUAACUGAACUUAGGGAAAAAGAGGAACCAUUUAGGGGAAAGUCUGAAAAUUUGCUUUUGCAAAUGAUUUUUUCCUUUACUGAAGAAACCUAUCUUCCAGUAAGUCUUUUGGAGAAGUAAAUGUUCCCUCAUCACUUCUUCUGUGUUCACUCUCUGCAGGGUCCUUUGAUUUCAGGUUCCAUUGCUUUAAUCAAAUAAGAAGCUUGAGGCAGUGGUUGAAAAUAACAGAACACCUGAGAAUCUGAACAAAAUAAUGUGCAAAACCAAAUCCCAGUAUGGGCAGCAAUUCCUCUUAACCGAACAUUUGCCAGAACGACAUGUCACUGAGAAAGUGAGCCAGUGCAAGCGGAGAGGGCUUGAACACUGUGAUAAGAAGACAUGACUUUCAGUCUAAGUCUAUGCAAUCCAAAGUUCAACCAUAUUGCAUAGAAUGGCUCCAUGAAUGAGACUUCCCUUUGCCUGUCUUUUUUAUAAAGUCCAGGGCUAGAGAGAUGCUCUAUUUGCAAGUUAUUUUCAAGAUGAGCUAUGGAAAUUUCUGCCCAUAGCUCUUGGGAUGUCUGUGCUUAGUUGCUUCGGAUCCAAUCGGACAAUUACUUUUGAACAUGGGAAGACUGAUGAGCCUGUACCCUGUACACCCAAUACCUACUUGCUGGACUUACUCACUGAUUUUAACAGGACAAAUAAUAGCCCCCUCUCCCAUCAUGGAACGAGUGCCACACUGAGGCCUACCUGGCACCAACCUUACUAUCUUUUCGUUGCUAGAUUAAGACUGUCCUCUAGCACAGGGCAGUUAACUGCUUUACUGGGUCUUUGUUAGAGCUGUGUGUACAUACGUGUUUCAUGGAAGGUAAACAGAAUCCUUUGUUGUAUUUGUUUAGAGUAAUCCUUUAUUUGGCUGUGCACUAGUUGCAAUGUACCUAGUUGGUAGGCAAUGUCCAGCACCAAGAGUAUCGCCAUCUUGCUUCCUCCAUGAAUUGCUUCCUGCCUUCACUAUCAUCAUCAUCCAGUUCCUUUUUUAAAACAUGCAACUCAUUUAUCACUUCACUUUCAGGCAUGGCAGCUUUCCCCUGUCCAUCACCCUCCUUCUCAUCUCAUGUCUUGGACUGUAGUGCCCAAAUGCAGAGACAAGGCAGGCUCGUUAGCUUCUGUAUAAUAAGUGGCCCGUUCCUUUUAGAAUCAUUUCAGCAAGCACACUCAAGUCAUGCUCCACAGUAUCCCAUUCAUUGCACUGGGGAGGGGAAGAGGCUGAAUCCAAAGUCCUCUAAUUUCCAAAACCUCACAGCACACUAUGCAGAAAAGUUCUCAUGGGUAGUUCCCUUCUUCAUAGGAAUUGGGCAGGGAACUGCUGCAUUGAUGUCUGCAGAGAAAAAGUGCAUCAAAAUAAAAGAAUAGCUGCUGUUGUUUUCUAAGGUGUAAACCUGGCUUAGUAUUUCCCAUUGGGAUCUAAGCACCAGAUUUUGGCUCUUUCUCAGCAUAGAGUUUUCUGUCCGCAGCUCAUAGCUCUUAAUUUACAUGGGUGCUCAAAGGUGUAACUCCAUUGCUGACCUGCAAAGGUCUAUCUGUUUGUUUCAAAGGAAGGGAUGGCUUUAGUGCGUGAAAGCAGUGCAGAGCUUUGAGAAGCCUCACAGAAGAGCUGGGCCAUGCACAGUGUUGGAUGUAGUUUGCAACUCCUGACUCGGACAAAGUCCCAUGUCUAUCUUAGCUCACUUAUAGACCCAACUUACAUGUACUCCAGUCUGACAAAAUCACUGUGCUAUGAAGAGCACCAGGUGAACAACAAAUGCAAAUUGGCCUCUCAACUGAAGAAAACAAAUUCUCUUCAGGCCAUUUUUUAUAUACUUUCAUGUAGGUGGAGCAAAACAGCCUCCCCUCUCAGUAAACAGAGAGCAUAAUCUAAUUACUUAACUUGUGGAUGAUUGUGGACAGAUUUAUUUAUAGGUCUCUUCCAAAAUAUAACCAAGACCCCAGCCUUCUGCUGUUCCACUAACAGUGAAUGCACAGCGAUUGAGAAGCAACAGAGUUUGUUGGGCUUCUAUCCAUGCGUGUGCAUAUAGGACUGCUGCAUAAUCUAAGAGUGCAUUUUCCCUUUAAUAAUCUCAGCACAGAGAAAGGUUCAUUUUGCCACCGUUUAUGUAAGGUUAACUUGCAGUCCAGUGAUUUGGCAAGGCUCUGCAGUGACCUUCAUGGCUGAGUGCUGCUGGCUCAUUCACAACCAAGGAGCACCACAGUCCCUCGUGCUCAGCUAAAAUGACAAUUUCCCAUGGCCCUGAACUCACUGUGUCCUGUCGCCCUGCUGGAGUUCAUUCAGGACUGUGGCCAUGCGCAUGAGCUUUUAAUGUGAGUGUGAGACUAUUUCAGUCACUUUGAUUUGGGAAAGCAGUUUUAACAUCAUGGGAAGCAGUAAACAGAUCCUUUUUCUGACUCUUCCUUCUGAAUUCUUGGAAUAUCUGAACCAUGAAUGUGCAGUCCACAACUACUGCCUGCUUUUUGGCAAUCAGUGAGAACCAUGUACAGAAAUCAAAAGUGUGCCAUAGAUAGAUCUGUAGGGGAUUUUUUAGGUCUGCUAAAAAAUUAUUACUUUGCAUGUAGAUAAUUCUUCAACAUGCUCAAAGCACUUCAUGUCUAUCAGUUCAACCUUUGCAACAGCCUGUAAGUUAGUCCCACAUUCUAAUUGUCACAAUGUAGGAAGAGGCCAAAUUGGUUUAUGGCUAUGAGUCGAUUUGAACUGGAAACAACCUAACUCACAGCUCUCAGUACUCACAGCUUUGCAGUGCACUGGUACACACAGCAGAAGCGCUUAACUUUAAAUCAAGCAGUUUACAAAUGUUACAUGGUAUCUGUGUGCAGAGAAGCUUGUGGAAUUGCUUUCCUCUGAAUUUUCAAGAAAGGGGUAAGUAAACAGCUGUGUCUGUGGCUUCAGAAUAGUAUUCUCAUACUAUGGUAGGAAUAAGAUCUGAUAUUUCAUUAAAAUCUCUUCUAGGCUGCCUGAAUGCAAGGGGAGAUGUCUAGCAAAGGCCUCUGCAUGUUGAGCUGCACUCAUCCAAUAAUUUGAACUGGGGGCUUUUUAACUUUCCAGAAUUCCCUCCACUAUCUGUGUGACUUGCACUGUUUUGCAUUUCAUUCCCCAGCUUAGAUCCCAAGAUGCAUGUUUACCAAAGAAGCCGGCCCUCAGAAAUGAACAGGCACACAACCACUGGGUCUUUCAGCUAGUUUCUUUAAUAAGGUGGAGUCCUCCAUGCGUAUCAGCAGCCUUCCACCCAGCACUGGCACAGAAACAGAUGCCCAUCGGCAUAGCAAUGCACACUUGACCAGAUGCCUCUUUGGAUGUUCACUGGGACCUGUACCCACAUCUAGAAUUGCCAGCUGCUACAUGUGACUACUGGUAGAUCAGAACUGCUACCUGCAGGAUUUCUUUCUGUCUUAUUCCCACCAGUCCUACAGAUCUCAUCUUAGAGCCAAAUAUGAAACAACAACAUGAGCAGGAACAGUAACUCAAGGUCCAGGUACCCCCUGGAGGAUUUCUGUGCCCUUGAUCCCUGCCAGACUAAACCAAGGCAAUGACAGCGGAAGGCUGCUGACAUGCUGUGAAGCUGCUCUAGCUCUGUCUGAACCUUUGGCAGUCUCCACCCCCAGCCUGUUAGCCAUAAUUCCCAACUGCAUCCGCACAAAAUGCAGAAGCAGCAAAGCAGUCCCUAUCUGGAAACCAUGGCUUGGAAGAAAAGCAAAUUUACCUCUUCUUGCUUUAAAUCAUGAAUUUGAAUUGGGGAGAUGGUCCAUCAAGAAAACAGAAACUGAAGGAUGGUGCUAGCACGUGUAUCCUUCCCCCACCCACUGUACUUGCCUCCUUCCAUGAGUAACAAUCUGAACAGGGAGCCAAGUGGUCCAAGGUACUGAUAACUGACCCAGUGUGUAUAACAGAGAGGCCCUUCAAUGAUUACUGCAAAUGCUAGUAGCAAAUAUGGCUUAUCCCUUUGGGAUCAGCAAAGAAACCAUACAUGAUUUGGCAGCCAGACAGAGCAGGAGAAAUGGCUGCUUUGGAUGUAUCUUUGGUCCUUUUGUUGGAAUGGAUUCAUUCUCCCUCUAACCUCUUGCACUAGGCUCCCUCUUAGUUAAGUGUGACAUUGGGGGGAAGGAGAAGCCCCCAACUGAACAUUUUAGUUCCCUUUGAAUUCUCCAGCUCUGCUAACUAGCUGCUCAGUCUGUGGUCUGCUGGGCAAGCUGGCCUGUUCUUUCUUCACUGUCCUCUCAUCCAAUAGAUUCUGCCCCUCAAAGCAUUAAAAAAGAUGUGAGUCUCAGCUUCAGUCAGCUUCUCCCACACACCUUCAAUUCCAAAUACAAUAAAAAUUAGACCUUCCCACUAGAAACUUCUAGCUAACCAUGGUUUAGGUUGUUGUGUCAUCAAAAGAAAGAUGCCAGAGCAAAGCAUGAUGGGAAGUAUAUGCAAAUCAACCCAGGGCUACUGGGUUUUGUUUCAGGAUUGCAAAGCUACAUGAAGGUUCUUGUUGCAGCUUUUCAUGACAUAUCCAGCUUGUCACUUAGCAAGAAUCCAAUCCACUCAAAAGGGUGAGCCUUCCAAUGUCCACACGAAUAGUCAGCCUGCUAUGCUUGGUUAUUUGCACAAAUAUCCCAUGAUACUGUUCUUCAGAAAUAAAUACUUAGUGUUCUGUUCUGCAUUUGGACAGAAGAGUGGAAGCAUUUACAUGCAGUCACCUUUCCUCCCAACUUUCUUACCACUCCACUGUUCUAAUGGAGAAUGGAAAACUACUAGAGUACAGAAGUCCUACUGUAUUACUUAGUCAUUACAGAGAUAUUGGACAAUUGGCAGUGGGCAAACUGUAUGCCCAGAACUGCACUCCCCUCCCUGCCCUCUGUUAGAUGGCUAAUGGCCAAAGGCCACCAAGCCCAAAGUGUGAUGAUGCUCACAUGGUUCACAAGAGCACCAUUUCAUGCACUUUUCUAGUUUCCAAAGCAAGCACAGUGUAUCUGGUCAACUCACAUUGUCAGGCUCUGAUAUGAUCCUCAUACAAUAUUCAAAGGUCCAAUUUUAAGGAAGAAAAUCUCAAAGUGAGUAAAAGCAAAGCUAUUUGUGCUAAUAUUCAUGGUGGUCUCAGGGAAACCCAAGGAAGAAGUUUGCUUUGCCUUUGAAGAGAACAACAUGUAAAGAUGAUGGGACAUGCAGCAGACAAACUACUCUGAAGAAUGUGAAAGGAGCAACUGUGUCUUUGAAUUUCCCCCACUGGAUGCUCUUGAGUUCAUCCAGAAUCUCUCUACAGCCACCAAAGGAAGGGUAUUGCAGCUUAGAAAACUGAACAGAACAUAAACCAAAUGUUGCCUAACUGAGGUAUUGAUAGCUCUGGAUCACUUGAAUGUUCAGUAGGUGAUGC